ACCACUCAUUCCCACUCACCUUGUCAGAGAAGAUGUAGUCCCUAGAGUGAGUGCAGAUGACUGGGAUGUGGUAGAAGCCGCAGGUGUAGGAGACCGAAGCUGUCGUCACUGAGUCGUAAGAAGAACUCGCCACAACCACAGCGAACACCUGAGGAGAACAAGCACAUAUGUCUCCCUGUUCAACUGACCUUGAGUGCAUUUGUGAAGUGGAGCUCCGUGUCGUUGUCGUGAAGCACUCCCCCGAUGUUGAACCUCCUGGAGGGGGGAAGCGACCCCUGAGCACCACCACCACUCUCUGCCCCUGCCGCCACACUCGCCACCCACACCACCCACCACCACCUGUCGCACCAACGGGGCAUUAUUGCCAACGUGCCAGUGUUACCACCUACACCGUGAACUGUUAGUUAUAUUGAUAAUGAUUAUAACUUUCAGACUUUCAGUUUGUUAGACAAUGUAACUUACAUCAUUAAUUGUGCAAAAAACUAGCAAGCCGAAUAUUGACUGGUGUUCUAAUCUUGCGAAGGAACGAAGUUUUUAAUUUUUCACUCAUUCACUUUCAGGACAUUUUUUUUUUUUCCGUGAAGAUCCGGCACAGCUUUGGGAAAUCCCGUUGAAAUAUAUUUUUUCCUCCUUUUCUCUUUUACAAUAAGAUGAGUAGUUUGCAGUUUCGCGGUAUGCAUUGUGCCGAUACCUGAUCAAUCAACACGCUGAACCUCAAGUGCCCUACUCUCCACACACAGCGGGCAGGAGCACCACUCACCAUCACUUCUCCGCGUCUCUUUAACACCAACGGAGCAUCACUCGGCACUGAACACUGUCACAUGGAGCACUGGUAGCACUGUAAGUGGCUACACGACGUGCCCUGCUAAGGCGUCAGGGCAGCGUGCCAAGGGCCGGUAUUCUUCCCCUCCCCACACUUCCCCACUACUACUAGUGCCACCCCAUCCGCCACUCGCCAUUCCCUCCCAUGUAUCAUCUCUGCUUCCGUCGCCAAAUCCCUGCCUCUAUAAACCCCUGCAGAAUGAGUGCAUAUGGUGGUGGUUUAACUACCGGAGAACACGCCUCUACGCCGCCACCACCAAACAUGUCCGUGUCUAUUUCAUUGAACAGCACUCUAGAAAGUAUACGAAGCUCGAAAAAGCUUUUUUCCAAUACCUAAUACACUGCGGGAAGCUCUGUCUAAUACAGUCAAUGGAAUGACGUCGCAGCUCUCUCAUUCCACAUUGUUUCAACGGAGGUUGGCCAGACAUUCUUUUCUCCAGCUUAUUCUUCAAGUAUUUAGUCCAUUGAAAGAUAAUAUCUAUAUUUUAUACAAUCACCGUAAUACAUCGCAAAAUUGGUAAUUUAGGUUUUACGCGGCCCAAAAUCUGCCAUGUUAAUUUUCCACAGCCAUUCAGUCGUUUUGGAGAUAGUUGUUUGUAUAGCUAUUUCUAGUCAGUUUUUUUUUUUUUUUUCCUCCCCUAGUCAUAUUUGUAUGUGCAAGUAUAAUCAGUUUUCUGAUGUAUGGAUACUUUUGUCUUCCCGAGUCAUGCUUCGAUCUUUGGUGUUGCUUUGUUCGAGCAAGGAUUUGGAAACUGAAUCUUGAAGUGCGUCACAGCAAAGAUAAUCUUUCAAUUGCAUCCCUUCAUGAGGGACUAGGAAGGAUCGCGGACACAGUCAGGUUCCACUCUCGCUUGUGAUCUGUGUAGCUGCUAUGAUUUUGAAAGAAUAUCGGUAUAGACUUAGUAACACUCCCUAGUGAAAUUCCAUAAAUAUUACUUCAUUGUUGUUCUGAGUGUAACGUGCCCCAUAUGUCACAGCGUUACAGAGCACGAGUCGUGGUGGUACACAAAUUCCCUCUAAGGCGUCGGCACUGCGAAUGAGUUGUAUGACAGUAAGGAAGGGGCUGGACCUUCUCUUCGAGACUGAGGUACGUUUCCUUUUGUUUGAACAACUUUCCUUUGGGUAAAAUUCUAGUUUCUGCACUUUCAUUUUCGCGGUGAAAAAAGUUAUUCACCAAUAGUGGUUCUUCAUGGAUGAGAAAAAUUUUGUACACAUGGUAAUGAAUAUUCAUUGCACAAUACGUAUGUGGGAGUUUUUGUUUGGUGGUCAUACAUAGUUGUUAUAGUCAAGGGUGAGAGACGGAUAUUCUUUCAUCCUUAGUAACUAGCGUGUAAACUAUGUACCGCGUGCUGCAAACAUGCUUACCAAAGUAUUUAUAACAUUGCAUAACCUAAACAAUUACCGUGUUGGGAUCACACGCAAUGCAUAUCAAACAAACGUAAAGCAGGCGUUGAAACUCCGUUUCAAAACUUUACAUGUAGGUAGAGUUCGAGCUUCAUCCUAUACCAGUGAAGCUGAGAGUAUUCAAUUUGUGGUCUUGAUCAUCCAUUAAGCCUUUCGGAAUCUGUAAAUUGUUUCAAAUUUCAGUCUUUUUUAAUAGUAUUACGCUGCUUGUGUGUGUGUGUGUGUGUGUGUGUGUGUGUUGAUUUAUAUUUUCUGCUAAUUGAUGUAAAUUUCUUAGACAGAACAAAUGAAAAUAAAACAAAGUUUAUCUUACUUUAUUACAAUGUGUGCAAAUUGUGAAAAUACUUAGGCUUACAUUUUAGUAAAUGAGACUAUUUCAUUCAAGCAGUCACACACCACAGGUUCUUGGAUUAUCUGGAUAAGCCACACAGUACUGACCAAGGAAGACCAUGAUAUGCCUUCCUUGGUAACACCUCUACUAAAUACUGUACCACAUAUUGGGACAUCAUCUGUAUACAAGAAUCACAUAAGGACAUCUUGUCACUAAGGAACACUUAAGGGAACGUUAUACAUACACCAACCAAACACUGCAAUCCAAUGACUUUUUUAUAUUCUAUAUUAUAAAUCAACAAAUUAAAAAGGAAAGUAAUUCUUCAUCUAUCAUUAUUCUUUUAAAUGACAAACUAGUUUGUGAAUUAUUUUCAUAAAAUAAAGUAAAAACUAUAUUACAUGAUUUUAUUUGUCUCCUUGUGAUGGUAAUCCCAAAGAAAGCAGGAGAAGAAUGUAAGCACAUUACUGAAGUAACUUGUAGGCACACUGCUCUGUACACUGAAUUAGAAAUCAGCGGCCUACAUGUCGACUAUAAUGCCAUAUGUGUCGGCUUGUCAAUGCAUCAUAGGGAACACUUUGUUACUCUCUCACUUUUCACUUUAUUUCAUUGUGGAUGACAUUACUUGUAGCCACUGGGCAGCAGGUGUGGCAGUAGGCUACAGCACCAUGUCAUAAUGAACAGAUAUACUGUAGUCAACAGUCUGUACCUACUACACCAAUAAAUAUUAGGCACUGUUAAUUGAUUAAUUAUAUUAGUUAGUUGCUUUUAGCACACUAGGAGUUUGAUUGUACUUAAUGAUCACAUUUACAAUGUGAAAUUAUGCUACCAUAAAAAUUGUGAUGAUGAAAAUCUAAAAUGAGGUAAUCAUCAUUGGCAGUAUAUCUCUAUAAUUAUCAUAGGCAGUGAUAUAAAUAUAAAACAAAGCUAAAUGUAAGCCAGAAAAGUACAUAUAGAGUUUGUGAUGAAAGACCUUGAAACAGUGUUACUGAUUUGAUAAAUAUGUUGGCCAGUCAUCAUAUUUUUAUUCAAAACAGAAUGCAAAGUGUGUUACAGAAGAAGAAAAUUAUGCAGUGAAUCAGAAGUCAAGUUUCCCAAACCAUGUUGCAUUCAUCACAUACAUACUUGUUAGAAAUAGAAUAAAGUUGCAUCAGGCAUGUUGUACACCUCAUUAAUGUAUUUAUCCUUGAAAUACUCAUGGUCAAGUACCACUGAAGGAUGUGAUGGUGUAUUAAUCCUCAUACACACUUUGCAUAAUAGAAAUAACUCUUUAGAGUAUCUGGAUUCAGUGACUAAUACAUAUUGUAAUUAACCUGAAGUCAUAACUUUAAGACCUUGUGAAUUGUUUAUCCUUCUGAUGUUUGCCAUGGUUGGUACUAAUUACUUUUCAGUCAUCUAGAGAAAUCAUGAUUAAAGAUGUAUUUUUGUGUAUAGAAGUGUUCCACAGCAACAGAGCUUGUGAAUGUCUUGAACCAGUGGCCAUGCCCUCUGAAGUAGUGCAGCUGAAGUAGCAAAUUAAAGGCUUUCUAAGAAUCAUUAUAAAUAGAUCAACAGAUUGCUUUUUCCUCUUAAUCAAAUCUUUUAAGUGAGUAACAGUGAAACUUUUCAAUAAACAAAAAAUAAACACUACAUAAACUUUUAAAUAAACAAAAAAUAAACACUACAAAAU
rnacentral:lncRNA from 1 species